AGUGAACGCUGGCGGUAGGCCUAACACAUGCAAGUCGAACGGCAGCACAGUAAUAGCUUGCUCUUACGGGUGGCGAGUGGCGGACGGGUGAGGAAUACAUCGGAAUCUACUUUUUCGUGGGUGAUAACGUAGGGAAACUUACGCUAAUACCGCAUACGACCUACGGGUGAAAGCAGGGGAUCUUCGGACCUUGCGCGAUUGAAUGAGCCGAUGUCGGAUUAGCUAGUUGGCGGGGUAAAGGCCCACCAAGGCGACGAUCCGUAGCUGGUCUGAGAGGAUGAUCAGCCACACUGGAACUGAGACAAGGUCCAGACUCCUACGGGAGGCAGCAGUGGGGAAUAUUGGACAAUGGGCGAAAGCCUGAUCCAGCCAUACCGCGUGGGUGAAGAAGGCCUUCGGGUUGUAAAGCCCUUUUGUUGGGAAAGAAAAGCAGCAGGUUAAUACCCCGCUGUUCUGACGUUACCCAAAGAAUAAGCACCGGCUAACUUCGUG
rnacentral:rRNA from 1 species